rnacentral:lncRNA from 1 species
UGAAAGUAUUUAAGCGUCUCGCGUUGUUGUAUUCGGUCUCAUUUUUCCUUCCAGGCUCCGGUGAGUACUUGGGUUGGUGGGUUUCUGGGUUCUGUCUUACAUUAUUUUGCGGCACGGGAAAUGGGGCUCAGCGGUAUUUUACCAGUUGAGCCACUCUUUUUGACUUUUGAGUCUUGUUAAGCUGCCUAACCUGAUCUCGACCUAUCGAUCCUAUUGUCGUUACCUCCGGAGUCGCUGCCAUUUAUAGCCGUUAGGUCGCGCGCUCCAGAUCUCUGUUGUCUUACCUAUUGGCGGGCUGGGAGGGAAGAUCUCCUCCCGGACCUAUUCAGUUACUUCUAUUGGCGCUUUGUGAAGGACAAAAUGGCGGUAGCGGGCCGAGCCAGGCGCCCUCCCAGUGAUGAGGACAUUUUCACAGACCUGUGCUGAAUUCCGUGAGGAUAAGUAACUCUGAGGAGACCGGCGCUGCACAGCUUGUGUCCCCUGCGGCCGUUGCUUGGUAGAAAGCAUUUUUUAAAUAUCCUAUACUAAUCUAAUGUUUUGUCUGCAGGGUUAAGGCGCACAUUCGCCACACAACAAUCGAAGACAGCCCUCUGGUUGGAAUGUGCUUCGGCUCAAAGAUGUGUGGUGUUUGGAGAAUGCACGGAGAUCAUUCCUGCAAUUACAGCGAUCCUCCAUGUCUAGCAUCUUGUCUGGAUUCCAAGAAUGAUUUGAGAGAAAGCAAGUCAUAUCUGCCUAACUUCAACCUGAAGUUAAAGCCCCCAAGUCUGAGGAAAGAUAAGAUGAAGAUAAAUGGCAUCCAUCCAAGUCUUGGAGGACAUCAGAUUUCCAGAUCUUUCCUUGUGCAUCCUAGCUGUUCAAGUUAACACACAAUCAUUUUGAUCUUCCUAAUAAAGCUCUUUUUCUUAAUCUGUGUGAUUCA